UGCCAAUUAACUGAGUAGAGCUACAGCUGAGGGGCUAAUGGAGGGGGCAGCAACCUCCCAGCAGCUGGGAUUAUAUCAGCAUACAGGAAGGCUGUGCUGGGGGAGAGCAGGGAGCCUGAAGGAAGAUAGUGUUGCUAGCAGGAAGUAGGGAUGCUGGCUACUGACUGUAAAUAUAACAUAGAAUAAAGUGUGGUGGUGCUUAAGAAGACCUGGAGUUGUUAUGAUGACUGUGCAACUCGUCCUUCCUUGUGUGUUUCCUGUGAUCCUGGACCUGCAAGACUGAAACAAGAGUAGGCACUUGGGUCCGCAGCCUCCCUUAUUUCGCAGGCCCCUUUGUGUGAGGGUGCCUCUGGAGUGACAUCUCUUUUGGGACAGAUGGGAAUUUUCCAAGGCAACUCAGCAGUUCUUUAAAACAAGUACAUUUAUUUAAAUGUUCAAAAGUAUUGAGAAAAAUGUUUAAACCUAAACACAUAUCUUGUGAUAGCUAAGCUUUAGACUUUUUUGAAAGGAAAGCUAGAUAAGGCUGUGUCCUCUUAAAGUAUAAGAAAAGGUGUACGACUUAGGAACUUACAUCCUCUGGGACAGCAAAAUCAACUUUCAGCUGUCUGUGGUCAUCAGGCAACCAGCAUUCUAGACCUUUUGUCUUCUGCCUUCCAGAGUUACCCUGCUUUCUGCUCUGAGUCAGAGUUGUCUGCCAGUUCUGGACACCUCCUGGCCUGUUAAAACACAGCUGAGACAUGGAAAUGAUGUUUCAGUUACACAUCCAGACUAAAAGAGGUCCCUCUGUUUGUCACUUUCCAUCUUCCAGAUCGUUUUUCAACAGAUCAUUAACGCAGAUCAUUUGGACACCACACAAUCAACCUCCUGUCUUAUUGAAAAUGACCAUUUAUUUGUACACUUUAUGUUCUCUCUUUGCCAGCAGCUUCUGAUUUAUGAUAGUAUUUACCACUCAUCGGGUGGCUAGUUAGCUUCCUUAGCUACUUCUUAUGAGGCACUUUGUCAAAGAAUGUUUUAAAGUCCAAAUAAAAAUGUAUGUAUGCCACUUCUCCUUUA